AUGGAGACUGCCCUGGAUCCCAAUUUAGCUCAGCCCAUUGCUGUUUGCAUGACCUUGGGCAAGGCCGCCUCUGGGCCUCAGUGCCCACCUUUGGGCAACGAAGAAAAUUCAUACCAUAAACACAUAACUACCCAGAUAAUGAUUGAUUACAACAGUACUAGGUGCCAGAUGGGUUUGUCCCAGAAGGACUUACGAUCUGCCCUCCCGCACCAGGUCCUGUUGCGGUCCUACCCGUCUCAGCACACUACCGCCACUCCCCCCAGUGUGGAAGCCAAUGAGCGGGCGGUCAUUCUCAUCCUGCACACUCCCCGUUACCAGUUCCGCAAGCCAGAGACUGAUAGAAAAUUUGCAAGAGGGCCACAGUCUCCGCUGAGAGUCGCCGUGGGUUCCUGCUUCAACAGUGCUUGGACGGAACCCAGCGCUCGUCCCCCACCCGGGUCGGCCGUUCAGAGCCAGCCCUCCGCCAUCUCUUCGCCGCGCCCUCGGACCGCUCCAAGGGCCCCGCCGCCGCUCGCCGCCGCCUUUUCUCAGCCGCCGCCAUGACGCCCGCGUCCCCCUCGCAGGUGCGCCAGAACUACCACCAGGACUCGGAGGCCGCCCUCAACCGCCAGAUCAACCUGGAGCUCUACGCCUCCUACGUCUACCUGUCCAUGUCUUACUAUUUUGACCGCGAUGAUGUGGCUUUGAAGAACUUCGCCAAACAUUUUCUUCACCAAUCUCAUGAGGAGAGGGAACAUGCUGAGAAACUGAUGAAGCUGCAGAACCAACGAGGUGGCCGAAUCUUCCUUCAGGAUAUCAAGAAACCAGACCGUGAUGAUUGGGAGAACGGGCUGAAUGCAAUGGAGUGUGCAUUACAUUUGGAAAAGAGCGUGAAUCAGUCACUACUGGAACUGCACAAACUGGCCCCUGAUAAAAGUGACCCCCAUUUGUGUGACUUCAUUGAGACUCAUUACCUGAAUGAGCAGGUGAAAUCCAUCAAAGAAUUGGGUGACCACAUAACCAACCUGCGCAAGAUGGGGGCUCCCGAAUCUGGCAUGGCAGAGUAUCUCUUUGACAAGCACACCUUGGGAAACAGUGAUAGUGAAAGCUAAGCCUUAGGCUGUCUUCCCAUAGCCACAAGGGUGACUUCCCUGGUCACCAAGGCAGUGCAUGCAUGUUGGGGUUACCUUUACCUUUUCUAUAAGUUGUACCAAAACAUCUACUUUACUUCUUUCAUUUGUACCAUUCUUCAAAUAAAGUAAUUUGGUACCC